AUCGUGGAUCAGAAUGCCACGGUGAAUACGUUCCCGGGCCUUGUACACACCGCCCGUCACACCAUGGGAGUGGGUUGCAAAAGAAGUAGGUAGCUUAACCUUCGGGAGGGCGCUUACCACUUUGUGAUUCAUGACUGGGGUGAAGUCGUAACAAGGUAACCGUAGGGGAACCUGCGGUUGGAUCACCUCCUUAMCUUAAAGAAG
rnacentral:rRNA from 1 species